UACGUAGGGGGCAAGCGUUGUUCGGAAUUACUGGGCGUAAAGGGCGCGUAGGCGGCACGGCAAGUCGGGAGUGAAAGCCCGGGGCUCAACCCCGGAGGGUCUCUCGAAACUGCCGAGCUAGAGUGCGGAAGAGGCAAUCGGAAUUCCCAGUGUAGCGGUGAAAUGCGUAGAUAUUGGGAAGAACACCGGAGGCGAAGGCGGAUUGCUGGGCCGACACUGACGCUGAGGAGCGAAAGCGUGGGGAGCAAACAGG
rnacentral:rRNA from 1 species